rnacentral:rRNA from 1 species
CGCGUAGGCGGGAUGGCAAGUCGGUCGUGAAAUCCUUCGGCUCAACCGAAGAACGUCGGCCGAUACUGCCGUUCUUGAGGGAUGCAGAGGAGAUUGGAAUUCCCGGUGUAGCGGUGGAAUGUGUAGAGAUCGGGAGGAGCACCGGUGGCGAAGGCGGGUCUCUGGGCAUCUCCUGACGCUGAGGCGCGAAAGCGUGGGGAGCAAAC